rnacentral:rRNA from 2 species
UCAGGAUGAACGCUAGCGGGAGGCCUAACACAUGCAAGCCGAGCGGUAUGGAUAGCUUGCUAUCCAGAGAGCGGCGCACGGGUGCGUAACACGUGUGCAACCUACCUUUAUCUGGGGGAUAGCCUUUCGAAAGGAAGAUUAAUACCCCAUAAUAUAAUGAUUGGCAUCAAUUAUUAUUGAAAACUCCGGUGGAUAGAGAUGGGCACGCGCAAGAUUAGAUAGUUGGUGAGGUAACGGCUCACCAAGUCAAUGAUCUUUAGGGGUCCUGAGAGGGAGAUCCCCCACACUGGUACUGAGACACGGACCAGACUCCUACGGGAGGCAGCAGUGAGGAAUAUUGGACAAUGGGUGAGAGCCUGAUCCAGCCAUCCCGCGUGAAGGAUGACGGUCCUAUGGAUUGUAAACUUCUUUUGUACAGGGAUAAACCUACUCUCGUGAGGGUAGCUGAAGGUACUGUACGAAUAAGCACCGGCUAACUCCGUGCCAGCAGCCGCGGUAAUACGGAGGGUGCAAGCGUUAUCCGGAUUUAUUGGGUUUAAAGGGUCCGUAGGCGGACUUGUAAGUCAGUGGUGAAAUCUCAUAGCUUAACUAUGAAACUGCCAUUGAUACUGCAGGUCUUGAGUAAAUUUGAAGUGGCUGGAAUAAGUAGUGUAGCGGUGAAAUGCAUAGAUAUUACUUAGAACACCAAUUGCGAAGGCAGGU